GAUGAACGCUGGCGGCGUGCCUAAUACAUGCAAGUCGAGCGAACAGACGAGGAGCUUGCUCCUCUGACGUUAGCGGCGGACGGGUGAGUAACACGUGGAUAACCUACCUAUAAGACUGGGAUAACUUCGGGAAACCGGAGCUAAUACCGGAUAAUAUAUUGAACCGCAUGGUUCAAUAGUGAAAGACGGUUUUGCUGUCACUUAUAGAUGGAUCCGCGCCGCAUUAGCUAGUUGGUAAGGUAACGGCUUACCAAGGCGACGAUGCUUAGCCGACCUGAGAGGUUGACCGGCCACACUGAACCGGAGACACGUUCCGGACUCCUCCGGGAGGCAGCAGUGGGGAAUCUUCCGCAAUGGGCGAAAGCCUGACGGAGCAACGCCGCGUGAGUGAUGAAGGUCUUCGGUUCGUAAACCUCUGUUAUUGGGGUAGAACAAAUGUGUAAGUAACUAUGCCCGUCUUGACGGUACCUAAUCAGAAGGCCACGGCUAACUACGU
rnacentral:rRNA from 1 species